UUCUGGUUGAUCCUGCCAGAGGCUACCGCUAUUGGAGUUCGAUUAAGCCAUGCGAGUCGAGAGUCUUAGGGACUCGGCGCACCGCUCAGUAACACGUGGGUAACCUGCCCUAUGCUGGGGGAUGACCUCGGGAAACUGAGAAUAAUACCCCAUAGUUCACCACGCCUGGAACGGUGGGUGGAUCAAAGCUCCGGCGGCAUAGGAUGGGCCUGCGACGUAUCAGGUUGUAGGGGGUGUAACGUACCCUCUAGCCAUCAACGCGUACGGGUGUUGGGAGACAUAGCCCGGAGAUGGAUUCUGAGACACGAAUCCAGACCCUACGGGGUGCAGCAGGCGCGAAAACUUGGCAAUGCGAGCAAUCGUGACCAGGGAACUCCAAGUGGCUGGGGUAAUACCCAGUUUUUUCUUGACUCUUCAAAGGUCUUGGAAUAAGGGGUGGGUAAGGACGGUGCCAGCCGCCGCGGUAAUACCGGCGCCUCAAGUGGUAGUCGCUUUUAUUGGGCCUAAAACGUCCGUAGCCGGUCUGGUGCAUUCGUGGGUAAAUCAACCCGCUCAACGGGUUGAAUUCUGCGAGCACGGCCAGACUUGGGACC
rnacentral:rRNA from 1 species